rnacentral:rRNA from 1 species
UACAGAGGUCUCAAGCGUUUGUUCGGAUUCAUUGGGCGUAAAGGGUGCGUAGGCGGCGCGGUAAGUCGGGUGUGAAAUCUCGGAGCUUAACUCCGAAACUGCAUUCGAUACUGCCGUGCUUGAGGACUGGAGAGGAGACUGGAAUUUACGGUGUAGCGGUGAAAUGCGCAGAUAUCGGGAGGAACACCAGUGGCGAAGGCGGCACUCUGGGCCGGUACUGACGCUGAGGAGCGGAAAGCGUGGGGAGC